GCAAUUCUGCAACAGUGGCUCUAACUGACGCAGCACUUGACAGACAGCAUUACAGCGUGAAAUCCAGCUUGUGAACAGGUUCUGUGAGGAAUUCUGUUCAGGAGGUCGCAUUUCAGGCUCUCCACAUCAUGUGUGACUGACUUUUACGUUAUAACAACGAUCACACACUAGGAAUGUUAUAAAGUGCCUAUAUAGGAGAUUCUUUUGUAUAUUAUCUGACUUUAUAAACUCCCAACAACAAUGUGCUUAUAUAUUUUUUUCAGGCUAAAUCUACCCAAGACACUGGCUGUCAGACUGAUUUAGCUGCAAGAAUGCACUUGUCCAGGCUGACGUGAAACCUUCCCUGUAGCAAAGCCAGCCAGAAUGGAGUUCACAGCCGCAGUGUGUCUGGUGACCCACGGGGACCAUGAUGAAAAUUCAUCUUCCAGAAGGUCCCAGAGCAGCAGCCACACCCCCUGAAAAGACCAAGGUGUGAGGUGUCUGCUGUUGAUUCCAGCUUCCACCUCAGUGACUGUGCAAGCUCAGUGAACUGUUCAAGGUAAAAAAAAAUUAAAACAUUUCAGAAUUUUUAAGAUAUUAACAAUUAAAUAAGUAUGUGAUUACAUCAUGACGGAGGCUACUGAUUCUGCCCCGUGACACUUGGUGGUGACGUGUGAGCUGAUUCACCUGGAAAACAACUUUUACAUUAAAUAUUUUGUUUUUGCUAUCAAAAGUAAAUUAACUAAUAACCUGCAUUAUUGCAGGACACUCAGCAAAAUAUGGACUCUACACCAUGAGGCAGGUACACGUUAAUAACUCUAUAAGAGCACAUAAGCCUGGCUGAUCACCUGAUAACUCCUGUCAUCUUGUUAUGACAGUAUGAGGAUGUCCUCACACACCUGUAACCUAUCAGCUCAUCUGGCAGAAUAGAGAGAGAAGAGACAACACCACAUCUCCUGUUCCUGGAAAGCCUUCAGCCAUCCUUCGAUGACUGAGAACCUCCAUCAGCUCUGUCUCCUGUCUGCCUACAAUUAUUAUAAUAAAUAUUGUGUUUGACAAGUUUUUUUGUGCUGCCAAAUAUCUCAUAUAGAUUCCAGUUUUGAUAUUUUAAUGGAUAUUUAUAAAUUACAUUAAUUGAAUUAUCACAAUGCAUGUUUAACUAGCUCUAUUGUGAUGAAUUAAACUAGCACCUCACUGUUAAAAGCUCGUUUUACUUUCAAGCAUGUUUAAGUAUUUAUGGACAUGAACAAAAACAGGAAAUAUAUAAAUUGAGAUUUAUUUAAUUAAUAAAACAAAUA